rnacentral:rRNA from 1 species
AUGAAUGCUGGCGGCGUGCCUUAAGCAUGCAAGUCGAACGAAAGCAGUAAUGCUUUAGUGGCAGACGGGUGAGUAACGCGUAGGAAUCUACCCCUAGGACUCGCAUAGCCCCGCGAAAGCGGGGGGGUGGGUAAUACGAGAUGGUCUCGCAAGAGUAAAGGACUUAACGGUCCACCAAGGGAGGAGCCUGCGUCCUAUCAGCUUGUUGGUGAGGGUAAAGGCUUACAAGGCGAUGACGGGUAGCUGGACUGAGAGGGUCGAUCAGCCACAACUGCACUGAAACACGGGCAGUACACCUACGGGUGGCAGCAACUGGGGAUAUUGCGCAAUGGGGGAAACCCUGACGCAGCGACGCCGCGUGAAGGAAGAAGGCCUAUGGGUCGUAAACUUCUUUUGCUACGCCGUUCACAGCUUAGAGAAUAAGCCUCUACUAACUACGUGCCAGAAGUCUCGGUAAUACGUAGGAGGCAAGCAUUAUCCGGAUUCAUUGGGCGUAAAGCGUUGCGUAGGCGGCAUGGUGUAUCGUAUCUUAAAGACUAAGGCUUAACCUUGGGACUGGGUACGAAACUACCAUACUUGAGGAUUGAUCGGGAUACUGGAACAGUAAGUGUAGCAGUGAAUGCGUUUGAUAUUUACUGGAACACCCAAAGGCGAAGGCAAGUUAUCUGGGUUUUCCUGACGCUGAGGUACGAAAGCCAGGGUAGCGAAACAGAUUAGAGACCUGUGUAGUCCUGGCUGUAACGAUGUCCGCUAGCUAUCGAGGCAAUCGGUGGCGCAAGCUAACGCGUUAAGCGGACCGCCUGGGGAGUACGGCCGCCAAGGCUAAAACUCAAAGGAAUUGACGGGGACCCGCACAACCGGUGGAGCGUGUGGUUCAAUUCGAUACGAAACGAAAAACCUCACCAGGGUUUGACAUGUAACCGUUUAUGCUUUUGGAAACAUUAGCAAAUUCCGCAAGGAUGGUUACACAGGUGCUGCAUGGCUGUCGUCAGCUCGUGCCGUUGAGGUGUUCCCCUAUAAGUGGGGAAACGAGCGCAACCCCUGUCGAAUGUUAAAUAUUCAUUCGAGACGGUCCCAGUUUUACUGGGAAGGAAGGAAGGGAAGACGUCAAGUCAGCAUUGGUCCUUACACCCUGGGCUACACACACACUACAAUGGCGAAAAACAGUGGGCAGCAAGCGCGCAAGUGCAAGCAAAUCCCUUAAAUUUCGCCCCAGUUCAGAUUGGGGUCUGAAACCCGACCCCAUGAAGUCGGAAUCGGUAGUAUCGCAGAUCAGCAAGCUGCGGUGAAUACGUUCUCGGGGUCUUGUACACACCGCCCGUCAAGGCAGCAAAGUCGGGAGUGGCCGAACACUUGUUUUGCAGGUGGAGGCUAAGUCCGGCGAUGAAGCUU